ACCAAGCUUGGAAAAUGGCAGAAUCUCUUCUUAAAUCUGAAAAAGCUACUGAUAUUCUCAGCAUUUCUUAGGGGAAAGUUUAUCUUCUCUGCUUUAGGAUAAAAUAUUAGAGCAUCUAUCUCAAGAUCAAGAACAUGCUGCCACUUUAGGUGUUCCAUUGAAUAUAUUGGCUCAUCCUAAUGAUGCCAUUGGAAAAGUAUAUGGAGCUGAACAUUCUGAUCGUGUGCGUGGUUUAGGUGGUAAUAUUUGCCCCUCGACUGCUUUUGGAAUGCCUAAACAUUCAAUUAGUCAUGCGAAUCUUGGUGGUUCUAGUAGUAUGUCUCAUCAACGUGUUGAAGACCUAGAGAAGUAUGU